rnacentral:tRNA from 1 species
GGCGGGGUAGCCAAGUGGUAAGGCAGGAGUCUGCAAAACUCCUAUGCGUCGGUUCAAUUCCGACCCCCGCCU